GUGCUUGCUUCAGCGGCACACAUACUACAAUUGGAACAAUAUAGAGAUUAGCAUGGCCCUGCGCAAGGAUAACACGCAAAUUCGUGAAGCAUUCCAUAUAUAU
rnacentral:snRNA from 1 species